rnacentral:rRNA from 1 species
UAACCCAUGCAAGUCGAGCGGAAACGAGUUAUCUGAACUUUCGGGGAAACGAUAACGGCGUCGAGCGGCGGACGGGUGAGUAAUGCCUAGGAAAUUGCCCUGAUGUGGGGGAUAACCAUUGGGAAACGAUGGCUAAUACCGCAUAAUGCCUACGGGCCAAAGAGGGGGACCUUCGGGGCCUUCUCGCGUCAGGAUAUGCCUAGGUGGGAUUAGCUAGUUGGUGAGGUAAGGGCUCACCAAGGCGACGAUCCCUAGCUGGUCUGAGAGGAUGAUCAGCCACACUGGAACUGAGACACGGUCCAGACUCCUACGGGAGGCAGCAGUGGGGAAUAUUGCACAAUGGGCGCAAGCCUGAUGCAGCCAUGCCGCGUGUGUGAAGAAGGCCUUCGGGUUGUAAAGCACUUUCAGUCGUGAGGAAGGUAGUGUAGUUAAUAGCUGCAUUAUUUGACGUUAGCGACAGAAGAAGCACCGGCUAACUCCGUGCCAGCAGCCGCGGUAAUACGGAGGGUGCGAGCGUUAAUCGGAAUUACUGGGCGUAAAGCGCAUGCAGGUGGUUUGUUAAGUCAGAUGUGAAAGCCCGGGGCUCAACCUCGGAAUAGCAUUUGAAACUGGCAGACUAGAGUACUGUAGAGGGGGGUAGAAUUUCAGGUGUAGCGGUGAAAUGCGUAGAGAUCUGAAGGAAUACCGGUGGCGAAGGCGGCCCCCUGGACAGAUACUGACACUCAGAUGCGAAAGCGUGGGGAGCAAACAGGAUUAGAUACCCUGGUAGUCCACGCCGUAAACGAUGUCUACUUGGAGGUUGUGGCCUUGAGCCGUGGCUUUCGGAGCUAACGCGUUAAGUAGACCGCCUGGGGAGUACGGUCGCAAGAUUAAAACUCAAAUGAAUUGACGGGGGCCCGCACAAGCGGUGGAGCAUGUGGUUUAAUUCGAUGCAACGCGAAGAACCUUACCUACUCUUGACAUCCAGAGAACUUUCCAGAGAUGGAUUGGUGCCUUCGGGAACUCUGAGACAGGUGCUGCAUGGCUGUCGUCAGCUCGUGUUGUGAAAUGUUGGGUUAAGUCCCGCAACGAGCGCAACCCUUAUCCUUGUUUGCCAGCGAGUAAUGUCGGGAACUCCAGGGAGACUGCCGGUGAUAAACCGGAGGAAGGUGGGGACGACGUCAAGUCAUCAUGGCCCUUACGAGUAGGGCUACACACGUGCUACAAUGGCGCAUACAGAGGGCGGCCAACUUGCGAAAGUGAGCGAAUCCCAAAAAGUGCGUCGUAGUCCGGAUUGGAGUCUGCAACUCGACUCCAUGAAGUCGGAAUCGCUAGUAAUCGUGGAUCAGAAUGCCACGGUGAAUACGUUCCCGGGCCUUGUACACACCGCCCGUCACACCAUGGGAGUGGGCUGCAAAAGAAGUAGGUAGUUUAACCUUCGGGGGGACGCUUACCACUUUGUGGUUCAUGACUGGGGUGAAGUCGUAACAAGGUAGCGCUAGGGGAACCUGGCGCUGGAUCACCUCCUUA